UAUGCGCCAGGGAUGGAAGCGGCAUCCUUUUAUGUAGCAAAGCGAAAUAAAAGAUAUAGCGGACAGCCCGACCCCGC
rnacentral:sRNA from 1 species